UUCUGUAAGCCUGUGAAGGUGAGUUGAGAAGCUUGCUGGAGGUAUCAGAAGUGCGAAUGCUGACAUGAGUAACGACAAUGGGUGUGAAAAACACCCACGCCGAAAGACCAAGGGUUCCUGCGCAACGUUAAUCGACGCAGGGUUAGUCGGUUCCUAAGGCGAGGCUGAAAAGCGUAGUCGAUGGGAAACAGGUUAAUAUUCCUGUACUUCUGGUUACUGCGAUGGAGGGACGGAGAAGGCUAGGCCAGCUUGGCGUUGGUUGUCCAAGUUUAAGGUGGUAGGCUGAAAUCUUAGGUAAAUCCGGGGUUUCAAGGCCGAGAGCUGAUGACGAGUCGUCUUUUAGAUGACGAAGUGGUUGAUGCCAUGCUUCCAAGAA
rnacentral:rRNA from 1 species